UAGGGAAUCUUCGGCAAUGGACGGAAGUCUGACCGAGCAACGCCGCGUGAGUGAAGAAGGUUUUCGGAUCGUAAAGCUCUGUUGUUAGAGAAGAACGUUGGUAGGAGUGGAAAAUCUACCAAGUGACGGUAACUAACCAGAAAGGGACGGCUAACUACGUGCCAGCAGCCGCGGUAAUACGUAGGUCCCGAGCGUUGUCCGGAUGUAUUGGGCGUAAAGCGAGCGCAGGCGGUUCUUUAAGUCUGAAGUUAAAGGCAGUGGCUUAACCAGUGUACGCUUUGGAAACUGGAGGACUUGAGUGCAGAAGGGGAGAGUGGAAUUCCAUGUGUAGCGGUGAAAUGCGUAGAUAUAUGGAGGAACACCGGUGGCGAAAGCGGCUCUCUGGUCUGUAACUGACGCUGAGGCUCGAAAGCGUGGGGAGCAAACAGG
rnacentral:rRNA from 1 species